rnacentral:lncRNA from 1 species
UCUGGUUUAACUUCAGAGCAACUUUUGAGCACUUUGGGGGUUCUUGUGUUUAUGUUUGGGGGUAUUUUUUGCUUCUGGCAGACAGCUGAGACCAGAGGACACUGAAGCUGAUGGUGAAGCUGAUGCAGAAGAAGAUACUGUCAGUGAAGUGGAGACUGAAAAUAUACGACCGAGACCUCAAGGAUCCUCUCCUGUUUAUGAAUACUCUAUAGAAGACAGAUAUUUUAACAAAAAGCUUCAGCAAGAUAUAGAAAAUAGACAAA